rnacentral:rRNA from 1 species
UAAGCAUAUCAAUAAGCGGAGGAAAAGAAACCAACAGGGAUUGCCCUAGUAACGGCGAGUGAAGCGGCAACAGCUCAAAUUUGAAAUCUGGCUCUUUUAGAGUCCGAGUUGUAAUUUGCAGAGGGCGCUUUGGCUUUGGCAGCGGUCCAAGUUCCUUGGAACAGGACGUCACAGAGGGUGAGAAUCCCGUACGUGGUCGCUAGCUAUUGCCGUGUAAAGCCCCUUCGACGAGUCGAGUUGUUUGGGAAUGCAGCUCUAAAUGGGAGGUAAAUUUCUUCUAAAGCUAAAUACUGGCCAGAGACCGAUAGCGCACAAGUAGAGUGAUCGAAAGAUGAAAAGCACUUUGGAAAGAGAGUCAAACAGCACGUGAAAUUGUUGAAAGGGAAGCGCUUGCAGCCAGACUUGCUUGCAGUUGCUCAUCCGGGCUCUUUUGCCCGGUGCAUUCUUCUGCAGGCAGGCCAGCAUCAGUUUGGGCGGUGGGAUAAAGGUCUCUGUCACGUACCUCUCUUCGGGGAGGCCUUAUAGGGGAGACGACAUACCACCAGCCUGGACUGAGGUCCGCGCAUUUAUGCUAGGAUGCUGGCGUAAUGGCUGUAAGCGGCCCGUCUUGAAACACGGACCAAGGAGUCUAACAUCUAUGCGAGUGUUUGGGUGUCAAGCCCGAACGCGUAAUGAAAGUGAACGGAGGUGGGAACCCGCAAGGGUGCACCAUCGACCGAUCCUGAUGUCUUCGGAAGGAUUUGAGUAAGAGCAUGGCUGUUGGGACCCGAAAGAUGGUGAACUAUGCUUGAAUAGGGUGAAGCCAGAGGAAACUCUGGUGGAGGCUCGCAGCGGUUCUGACGUGCAAAUCGAUCGUCAAAUUUGGGCAUAGGGGCGAAAGACUAAUCGAACUAUCUAGUAGCUGGUUCCUGCCAAU